rnacentral:rRNA from 1 species
AUACGUAGAGGGCAAGCGUUGUCCGGAAUCACUGGGCGUAAAGGGUACGCAGGCGGAUAUGCAAGUCAACUGUGAAAUGUACCGGCUCAACCGGUAAGGUGCAUUUGAAACUGUAUAUCUUGAGUCUAGGAGAGGAGAGCGGAAUUCCUGGUGUAGCGGUGGAAUGCGUAGAUAUCAGGAAGAACACCAGUGGCGAAGGCGGCUCUCUGGCCUAAGACUGACGCUCAUGUACGAAAGCUGGGGGAGCGAACGGGAUUAGAUACCCCGGUAGUCCCAGCUGUAAACGAUGGACACUAGGUGUUGGAGGUUCGAAUCCUUCAGUGCCGCAGUUAACGCAAUAAGUGUCCCGCCUGGGGACUACGGUCGCAAGACUGAA